rnacentral:rRNA from 1 species
UACGGGGGGGGCAAGCGUUGUUCGGAAUUACUGGGCGUAAAGGCUCGUAGGCGGCCAACUAAGUCGGAUGUGAAAUCCCCAGGCUUAACUUGGGAACUGCGUCUGAUACUGGAAGGCUUGAGUGCGGGAGAGGGAUGUAGAAUUCCAGGUGUAGCGGUGAAAUGCGUAGAUAUCUGGAGGAAUACCGGUGGCGAAGGCGGCAUCCUGGACCAUUACUGACGCUGAGGCGCGAAAGCUAGGGGAGCAAGCGGG